rnacentral:rRNA from 1 species
UACGUAGGGUGCGAGCGUUAAUCGGAAUUACUGGGCGUAAAGUGUGCGCAGGCGGCAGAGCAAGUCGAGUGUGAAAGCCCCGGGCUUAACUUGGGAAUUGCGCUCGAAACUACUUUGCUGGAGUGUGGCAGAGGAAGGUGGAAUUCCACGUGUAGCGGUGAAAUGCGUAGAGAUCGGGAGGAACACCAGUGGCGAAGGCGGCUACCUGGACCAGCACUGACACUGAAGCACGAAAGCGUGGGGAGCAAACAGG